GAACAUCUGAAGGAACAAACUCCAGCCACACCAUUUUUAAGAACUGUAACGCUCACCGUGAGGGUCCAUGGCUUCAUUCCUGAAGUCCGCGAGACCAAGAACCCACUGGAAGGAAUAAAUUCCAGACACAGUGGCAGCUGGCACUGUGCUGCUUACAGAUCAAAGACCUACAGGAUUACAAGACACGUGGCUGAGAAAGAGAAGGGAAGGUGGAGCCGCCAUGUUGAACAUGUCUAGUCCCUAGUUCCUGCUGGUAUUCACCAGUGCAAGCUCCCAGCUUGCUUGCCUAUGUCUGCAGCUUGACUUUACAGGCUGCUCUUCGGUAGAAAAUGAUUUGGGGCUGCUUUUCCUUAAAAAGAAAAGCCUUACGAGGACUCCCAUACCCUUACUAUCUGCCUAAGUGAUUUCUUCUUAACUCCUGUAUCGGUAAGAGUCAAGAAUUUUUACCAUCCCUCCUUCAAAAUAUUGAGUUAGUUUUAUAGUUAAUAUACAGUUAACUGUUUAAAUAUCAUUUGUUUUAAAAAUUUUACUGACCCUCUUGAAUUACGGUAUAGUAUAGCUACAUUUCUGGACUCUGUACUGUUGAUCUGUUUGCCCUAUUUAUGUCAAUACGUCUUGAUCACUGGAUCUAUAUUUAUAUAUUUAUCCCUAAAUUUAGGCAUGGUAAAUCCUCCAACUUGGACCUUUAUUUAUUUAUUUAUUUAUUUGCAAAAUUAGGCUACUGAAAAUCCUUUCCAUCCCCCUUGACAAUGUUUAAUGUAAAUUUUAGAAUUAGCUUGUCGGUUUUAUAAAGCAGUUAC
rnacentral:lncRNA from 10 species